CCAUCCAUUUUCAGGGAGAUUUUUGUAAGAUAUUUUGGUGUAAUUCAGAUUUUCUUUUUUUCCUUGAAUGGGAGAAUGGAGAAGAAAAAUGAGAGGUAUGCCAAACACAGAGACUGCUGUUUACUUUCUUCUGCAGAUUCAUGUAAUUGGGAAACAGCAGUUACCUAGACUUUGUCUACUCCCAGACCUGGGUGCAUAACAAAAAUUCCAGUGGUUACAUCUGCAGCAGCAGGCAUGCCCAAGACCUUUGAGGGCAUUUGUCUCUGAUCUCCCGUUUCCACACUGACCCAUCUAUGUGGAAGCAUCCAGUAUAGCCUGGUCCAAUGGAGUGCCCUACUGAAUUGCUUUCUCUUAUAUUGCCUUAAGAUUUUGUCCACUAAUUUCACAGAGAGUAUAUUUGUUUGUAUUUUCAGUUCAAAGAUUUAGCCAUUUACUUCUCUCAGAAGGAGUGGGAAUGUUUGCACUCUGAACAGAAGAAUCUAUACAAAGAUGUAAUGUUGGAGAAUUACAACAAUUUGACCUCACUAGGACUUUCUGAAACUAAGCCAAGUGUGAUCUCCUUAUUGGAGCAGGGGAAGGAGCCCUGGAUGGUUAAGAGGAAGAAGGCAAAAGAAUGGUAUUCAGAUUGGGAGUCCAGAAGAAAAACCAAGACUUUAUCUCGAGAGAACAGUUAUGAAAUUAAAUCAUUACAUCAGCAGAUAACAAAAAAACGUUCCAACCUUGAAUUCAACAGGGUCAGAGAUAGCAGAGAAAUCAAAUGCCACUUGGAGAGACAGCAGGGGCAUAAAGAGGUACAAGUCAAACAAGCCAAAAUGACCACUAAAAAACGGCCCCCUGCAGUUGAGUGCAUAGCCCCUGGAGAAUAUCAUAGAGCUCAUACUGGAGAAAAAUCCUGUGAAUGUCAGAAAUGUAAGAAAGCUUCUGGGAGCC